AGAGACAUUAUCUUCUACCCGUCAAACCACCCCACGACUCCUGCCCCAAAAAAACAUCUUCAUCUUCUUCCCAACCCCCGCCGCCAGCCCCCGACCACCCAUUGGCUUUCGUACUUUUAUGGACGGAAACCAUCUUUCCGGUCUGGGAUUAGUAUUAGCAGAAGAUAAAUUGGAGUUACAAAUAAUUAGAGAUUCAUAUCUUCUGCUAGCUGCUCACCCUCCUUCCACCACCG
rnacentral:lncRNA from 1 species